AGUAAACAUGGCCGCCCGAGAGGAACCGCACCGCCACCACCUGCGACAGAGACGGUCGUUUCGUGAGAGGAAGGACGUCCUGAAUGAGCUAGAUGACCGUGAGCUGGUGAAGAGGUAUUGGCAGGAUCCUGCUGGUAUCAUUUUCGUGACAAAUUUGGUGCGGGAAAGGCUGAAGAGACCAACUGCAAGGAACAAGGCCUCUCUCCCCGAGAUGCAAGUUAUCUUCACUGCGGUACCUCGCUAUAGGAAAGAUGCAGCAGUGCAGCACUGAUGACUUGGGGCCCUCACAACAGACCAUCAGCAGGAUCAUCAGUGAUACAGUGAUACAAUGCCAUCCUCUCUUAAUUCAUAAGAUUUUUAGUCACCCAACUGGAAACUCAGUGGAGGAAGGAGGAGUUUCUGCAGAUUGCUGGCUUCCCUGAAGUGAUCGGUGGCAUUGAUGGAACGCACGUAAUGAUUGUGGCUCCUAGAGAGUAUAAGGUAGAGUUUGUCAACAGGAAGAGAUACUACAGCAUCAACGUGCAGUUUGUGUUUGAUGCUUGAUACCACAUUAUUGAUGUGGUUGCAAAGUGGCCGGGAUCGGUUCACGAUGCAAGAAUACUUGUUCAAAGUGGACUCUGCACGAUAUUUGACAACGGCAUCGUCCCAGCUGGGUGUCACUUACAGGGAGAUAGUGACUAUCCCAGCAAGAAGUGGCUACUGACUCCAUACCUCAGACCACAGCCUGGAGCACAGUCUUCUUAUAACAGGGCCCACAAGAAAACCCGCAGCGUUGUUGAGAGGCAUCGGGCAGCUGAAGCGACAUUUUCACAUGCUACACAGUGAGAUCCGAGUUGGUCCUCCAUCCAAGGUCUGCCAAAUUGUAGAGGUUUGUGCAUUGCUGCACAACAUCUGCAAAGCAAGAAACAUCAUUCUUCCUGAGGAAGAAGAACAUCUUGCUGCAGCCGAGGAUGGAGGCAACGAGGAGCGACUCCUAGCACAGAAAGUUCAAAGUCGCCAUGAAGUAAUCCUUUACAGGGAUGAAUUUGUUGUGCUUCACUUCAACAUUGAUGAGUGAUGAGACACCAGUGUCAUGACUGCUGAGAUUGGUGUUAUUCUCAUGUGGAUGAUCUCCUCCUCAUCCACAAACACCAGUGAUGUACCAGGCAAGUCUGGCCCCUGUUGGUGCUGCAAGUGGUGUGGCAGGUGCCUCCUCCUCAACACCCACUGCCUCGGUCACCACUUCUCUCUGUUGGGCUGCCUCUGCCACUUCCCCAGCAUCAUCUGCUGCCUGCACACUGCUGGCAUCAUUAGUUCUAACUUCAGAAACUAAGCUGAUAAUGUUUUUGGUUUUAUUGCUAAGGACAAAAGUAACAGAAACCAGUAAAUCUAGCUAAGGGUA